rnacentral:misc_RNA from 1 species
AAAAUAAAGGGGCAUACAUAGUUUUAAAACCCCCUGAUUUUGAUGAUACAGAGUUCCAUAGUUUUGAAGCUAUUACUCCAAGACCAGAGGUGAAUGCCUAUUAUGACUAUGAAGAUGUGAUUGAUUCUGAUGAAGAAGUGGACUUGGCGUCGAUGGCAACUGCUACAUAAAGACAAUUGCAGGUUUUAUAGGAAAAUUAGCAAAAUUUCAAUUUGUAGAUGUACUCUCUCCAUGAUUUUGUGUGUCAAUUAUUUGUUGCUAAAAGUAUUUCUUUUGCUAGCUAUCUUAUAUGGGGAAUCAUAUAUUUCCCAGUUUGUUGUUUUCCUUUGUGUGUGUUUGUGCUGGGCGUUUAUCCGAGCCUGAUCAGAUAUAAAACUUGGUAAAAAGAACUUAUUUCAUCGGAGCCUGUUAUUUUUAGCACCUUAAGGCCUUAGUUGCAGUUGUAUCACUGUUGUUUCAUCUUCCACUAUUACAUUUUACAAAAGCAUACUUGAUUGNGAUAUUCUAGUACUGUUUAAAGGGUGUGGAGAUUGAAUGAAUAAGGAUGGAGAACUAGAGCCUAAACAUAUGAACACAGGAGAGGAUUUUGGAGUCCCAAAUUGGAGAACGUGGAUGAGGAAGGAGUUGCUUCACAAGCAAAUGCCACCUGCUACUUCGCUUAAUAUGCCAAAUCAUCAAGAUGCAAGGCAGUGAUAGGGUAGCUGAGGGAGAUGAAGUUAAAAACAGGCGGGUUUCAAGGUAGAUGGAGCGGACAAAAUCAACUUUUGUCCACUGAAAUUUUGUAGUGAAUCCUUCCCCAUAACUUCAAUAGAGUGUUAAAUUAAACCAUAACCUGAGGACUUGUAAUUUUUGUUCUUUUUCAUCCCCAUCAAAACGGC